rnacentral:lncRNA from 1 species
GCAAGCCUCCACUUUGACCACCCCGCUCCUAUCCGAUGGGUGACGUCCCCGUCAAUCUCUCCGUCCCCCUGGAUCACAGACCCAAGAUAUCUCAUACUGUCCCUCUUGUCGAUGGCCUGAGAACCAAGCAUCACUUCCCCGCUUACCCCACUCGGCUCCUCGCCAAACUUGCAAUACAGAUAUUCUUUCUUAGAUCUGCUAAUCUUGAAACCCUUAGACUCAAGGUUCUGUCUCCAUAUCUCUAACCUUUCACUAACACCGGCCCUCGUCUCGUCUAUUAAUAUUAUAUCAUCAGCAAAGAGCAUACACCAAA